CUGCACCAACGGGCUUCAUCUGACACUGAUGAAUAGAAGACAUGUACGAGACUUUAAUCAAGAAUAUACGAUAUAAUAUUGUAUGAUAAAAAUAUGUUAUUUUCCAUUUGUUGAUUAAAACAACAGCCGAAGCUACAAAUCAUGAGAUCCCUUAUUAAAUCUUACCUCAAAUGACCCAAACAGUGUGUGAUGGUCCGGUUAUUUAUGACAUUAAUUCAUAAGCUCGUAGUCAAAUGGCUGAAUGCCAACACCUGGGUUAAAUUAAGGAGUCAUUUCUGCUGGAUGUGAACCAGGUUUUGGCCAUAAAUAUUUGAUUGUCUGUGAGUGAUGCAGCAGUUUUUAUCUCUCAGUGAAAAGGUCACCAGUUCUCAUCCUAUAUUUACAGCCUUCUCUAGCUGCUGUAGAGAGGCAGAUGAUCUGAGUUGAUCUGCAGUGAGGAGCUGAGAGGAGGAGCAGUAAUCAAGCAGAUGAGGAGCAGGUGUGCAGUGAACAAAGACAGAAAAGAAGGGAAUCAGUAAGAAAUUCAAAGUGAAAAGAUUGGGAAUCAAAUGGGACAAGUGAAAAGACGUUCCUGGGAAAGCUGAAGACGGUGUUCCUCCUCCUGGAAUGGCUGUUCCUCGGGAGGCAGGACUGGUUGUUGCAUUGAGAGCAGAUGUGAAAUAUAAACCACCAAGACUGAAGAAAGGAGUGAAGGAGAGGAGACAGAGGAGUGGUAGAUUGUAGCCUAUGGCUGCAGAGGCAGUGGAAGCUGUGAGUGAAAAUCCUCCCUCGUGUUCAAAUCAUCGCAGCUGAGACCAAACUGCCUUUGGAUUUUAUUUCCGAGCCAUAAAGAAAUAAUCAUCAGGAAGAAGAGGGAACGUCGCAGCGAGAGGAAAUCAAUUCAUCUUCUAUGAUUAAUGGAGAAACACUUCACUGAGGCUCACACUGGGUAGAAUUCCAGACAGAUGAUGAAAACUACUGCGAUGAACUUGGUGAAUAUGGAUCAGAAACAUUUUUAAAAAACGGUGUUUCUUGGAAAUCUUUCAGGCCCAUGGCAGAACUCCGAUGUCCACUUAUCAUUGGUUGAUCCACACGGUUGAUACGAUUAUUCUUACUCACUGUAGGGAACAGUUUGAAUUUCACCAAAGCAGCUCAUGCUUAAAAUAUAACUUCAUCCCCCAUCAUGCAUAGGGUCAGAGCAGCUGUGAAAAAAAAGCAAAAUAAAAAUGUAUUUUUUUCUUCCAAAUUUAAAUUAUUAAUUAUGAACCACAGCUGCAGUUCGAUUAGUCAGUUAAACUGUUUAACAUUCCUAAUGUCAUUUAUUUGUGAUAAUAAUGAGCUACACUGACCCACCGAGAGGUAAAAAAACCCAACAAAUAAUCCAUGGGUUUAAUGAAUUGAAUGAAUUUAAAAUAAAUACAUUUUGUGCUUUUAUACUGCUUUAUGGCUUUCACCCUAAAACGGAGAACCUCCGGUGUCUGGUUGUCCAAGAAUGAUCUUGGGCUGAGGACAAGGACCCUGGAGGCCCAGCAGACAGGACAGUUGGUCAGACAGGACAGUUGGUCAGACAGGACAGCAGCCAAAUCUGGUGACAGGUGGCAGGAAACUCUACUGGUGGCAGCAGCAGC